GGGGUCCUGACUGUCAGGAAGUGCUUCCUGGCAUCCAAACGAAACCUUGGCUCCCUGAGCUUUGCUCCGUUGGAGCGCGUUCUGCCUUUCAGCAGCUACCUGUCAUGAAGUCUACUUAUUAGUUCCAAUAAUUGCACACACAGUAUGCUUUUCAGUAGCAUGGUGAACAUUGCUGGUGAACAUGAGCACAAGAGUGCUGUUGCACAAACCCUCCUCUCAGCUUGUGGACUUCCAGAGACACUUGGCUGUCCACUGUGAGAACAGAAUGCUGAACCUUUAGUCAGGCCUUGAGUCUGAUCUUACAUUCUUAUUCUUUCAGCACUCUGCACCAUAUUUGGAACACUCUGGAGUAAUGACACAGGUCUCCAGAAAAUUCAAAUUGAAAUUUUUUUUAAUGCAAAUCAUUCCAGCUUGCAUAGGUUCAUUCACAAUAAAAUUUAAAGACAAUAGUAUAUACUCCCCUUAUUGCUUACAUGUAAGAAAGAAACAAAAGUACUGAAAAUUGCUGAAACACUAAAUUAGCCUUCUACCAUCUGAUGCCAUCCAAAUAUUUAGAACUACAGCUCCUAGCAUUCUUUAGUUAGCACCAAGCCACCAGUUUGGGAAAUUUUGCACAAAUUAAUUUUAGCAACCAAAAGAACUUUGCAUGAUAUGCUGACAAUUUACUCACCUAUUUCGACACAGCUCAGCUGUUCCACUGAAGU